rnacentral:rRNA from 1 species
AGUGAAGCGGCAACAGCUCAAAUUUGAAAUCUGGCCCCCCAGGGUCCGAGUUGUAAUUUGCAGAGGAUGCUUUUGGCGAGGUGCCUUCCGAGUUCCCUGGAACGGGACGCCAUAGAGGGUGAGAGCCCCGUCUGGUUGGACACCGAGCCUCUGUAAAGCUCCUUCGACGAGUCGAGUAGUUUGGGAAUGCUGCUCUAAAUGGGAGGUAUAUGUCUUCUAAAGCUAAAUAUUGGCCAGAGACCGAUAGCGCACAAGUAGAGUGAUCGAAAGAUGAAAAGCACUUUGAAAAGAGGGUUAAAUAGUACGUGAAAUUGUUGAAAGGGAAGCGCUUAUGACCAGACUUGGGCCCGGUGAAUCAUCCAGCGUUCUCGCUGGUGCACUUUGCCGGGCUCAGGCCAGCAUCAGUUUGCCUUGGGGGAUAAAGGCUCUGGGAAUGUGGCUCCUCCGGGAGUGUUAUAGCCCACCGCACAAUACCCUGGGGCGGACUGAGGUUCGCGCAUUUAUGCAAGGAUGCUGGCGUAAUGGUCAUCAGCGACCCGUCUUGAAACACGGACCAAGGAGUCGUCUUCGUAUGCGAGUGUUCGGGUGUCAAACCCCUACGCGUAAUGAAAGUGAACGCAGGUGAGAGCUUCGGCGCAUCAUCGACCGAUCCUGAUGUUCUCGGAUGGAUUUGAGUAAGAGCAUACGGGGCCGGACCCGAAAGAAGGUGAACUAUGCCUGUAUAGGGUGAAGCCAGAGGAAACUCUGGUGGAGGCUCGCAGCGGUUCUGACGUGCAAAUCGAUCGUC